rnacentral:rRNA from 1 species
CAGCAGCCGCGGUAAUACGGAGGGAGCUAGCGUUGUUCGGAACUACUGGGCGUAAAGCGUGCGUAGGCGGCUUUUUAAGUCGGAUGUGAAAUCCCUGAGCUUAACUUAGGAAUUGCAUUCGAUACUGGGAAGCUAGAGUAUGGGAGAGGAUGGUAGAAUUCCAGGUGUAGCGGUGAAAUGCGUAGAGAUCUGGAGGAAUACCGAUGGCGAAGGCAGCCAUCUGGCCUAAUACUGACGCUGAGGUACGAAAGCAUGGGGAGCAAACAGGAUUAGAUACCCCCGUAGUCCCUGUCUCUUAUAC